rnacentral:rRNA from 1 species
GACAUGGCUCAGGAUGAACGCUGGCGGCGUGCUUAACACAUGCAAGUCGAACGAAGCACUCUAUUUGAUUUUCUUCGGAAAUGAAGAUUUUGUGACUGAGUGGCGGACGGGUGAGUAACGCGUGGGUAACCUGCCUCAUACAGGGGGAUAACAGUUGGAAACGACUGCUAAUACCGCAUAAGCGCACAGGAUCGCAUGAUCCGGUGUGAAAAACUCCGGUGGUAUGGGAUGGACCCGCGU